rnacentral:lncRNA from 10 species
UUCUGAGCUGACAGUUUCAGGUGGAAGAGACAGCAGAUUUUCAGCUGUACCUGCUUUGGCCUCCUCAACUGUGAAACGCUCCAAGUGCCUAUUUCCUUUCAAUACCUAAGCCCAAGACUACAAGUAAAAAAGGAUCUCCAUUUCCUGCCCCUACUUCUCAGGUUGCAAAACUGUCUUUUGACAGAUUAUUAGAAUCUUUAAAGUUGAGAGUUUCUGGUGCCCAGCGUGGGGCAAUGGAGACAUCACACUCCCUCUGAAGCCUGCAGAAAAGAUCCUGAGACAACCGACAAAAAGCCAACAGAAGGU